UGUUGAUAUGACUUGUUUGGAGCCUCCAGACCCACAACUGAUUAUAGACGCUCAUAUCAAGCAAAAGCAGUUCAGCCUUGACUGCCUAACCGCAUCAUCUAUGCUACUUGUACAUUUGUGUAAAUAGAUUUUUUUUCUAUAUUUUUAUAACGAGAGAACAACAUGGAACUUAAUUCUCUUCUAAUUCUGCUGGAUGCUGCAGAACACUUGGAAAGAAGAGACAGAGAAGCAGAGCAUGGGUAUGCGUCUGUUUUACCAUACGAUAGCGACUUUCCUGCAAAGAAAACGAAAUCUUCGCCUAUAAGAAAAACUCAGAACAACAGGUCGUCGCACAAUGAGCUGGAAAAACACAGGUAAGAAGAUACUAUCAAUGUGGCUCAGAAUGGCCUUAUUAUUGUGAUUGUCUUCCUGUGUUAUUUAUUCUGUUUAAAUACUGUGUAAAAAUAGCACCAAAGCUAGAGGUGCUUGUACGGACCAAGUUGAACAUAUUGUGUAGUUUAUAUUAUAAUAUUAUAAUAUUAGAAAUAUCCUUUUUUAGUUCAAUGAUGACGACAUUACAGGGUCGAGGCACAUGAGCACCACGUGAUCCAACCCUUGAGGAGGUCAGAGUACAGAUGUACACAAAAUAAUCUAAACCCUCACAGCUGAAAACGGAUUCAAGUCUGCUUGAGUCAUCCCCCUCAUGCUAUGCCCGCUUCUACCUGCUGUGGAGGAUUGAAUAGCGUGAUGACUCGCCUGAGCCAACUGCAUUACCUUGUAUGGAAGAAUAGACUCGGGGUCAAGAACACACCCACACCACAAUGCUACUGCUCUAUCCCUGACAUCCACAUUGGUCAUAACCCCGCCCCUCUCUGAGCAACGUCUCAUGAGAAUGACCAACCGAGUGGGGUUUAAUUGUCGGUUUGAUGGCUUUGCGUUAUCAAUAAAGGGAGAGGCCAGGGUUAUCAAAAUGUCCUCGUUGCAAUCAUGAUGUCAUUGGGCAACUUGCAUCAUUCUUAUUUUAACAUGCAUGUCAUUGAGGAGAAGGUAACUAGAUAUGCUACUCCAGGAUGGCCACAGGUAGCCUACGGUAGAGCCAAGGCCACCUCAACCACAGGAUUAUCCUGUUCUCCUAGCUCUCAUUCAUUCAAGAAAUGCCCUGUUGCUGAGGGAAGAGUUCAGCGUACAGGAAGUCAUAAAGGGCUCAGGGUUCCACUUGGUAAGGUAUGGAGCCUCAUGAGAGGAGGGCUCACCACUAUGUGUCCUAACUGACAGCACGCUCAUCUGGUAGAUGGCAGAUGGGUGUCGCCCAUGUGUGUAAGCGUGCGUGCGUGUGUGCAUGCGUGUGUGUCACUCGAACUCAGAGCUUAGGCCUUCUCACACAUGAGUGGUGGUGAGUGAAUUGACGUCUGUUUUGUAGUUCUUUAAAUAACAAGUUGGGGCAUGUCCCUCUCUCUCUGGGCCGGAAAGACCACAGGGAGGAAGAUGAGGUGCUCACCGACAGUACCUGCCGUAGUAGUGGUAUCUGGGGCCAGAAUUACCUCAUGUGUCUCUGUAGUUAUGUUGACGUCAGCCCGCCCUUAAAUUUGGGUUGCCAGUAAUGUGUUCCACAAUCAGCUCACCCACUUCCCUUAUCAUCAAUGUGGCAAACGUUUAAAAUGAAGUUGAUUCAUUAAUUGUGUAAGAUUUAUUAAGAUUCAUUGCAGUCAUCGCUUUCAGGCGAAUUCUGAUCUAUCGGGGGAGGGGGGGGGACUCCUGACCAGCACUCGUGCUCUUCCCAACACCAUUAGUCAAAGAUCACGUCAUGUGCGUGUGUGAGUGUGUGUGGAGUCCUUCGAGUCUGAGCUUGUGUCCUUAUAUAACAUGUCAUUGUGGCACACAGGUGUUUGAACAGGGUCGAAAGUGUCCUCAGUGUAAAUACUCCCCAUGUGGUGUCACCAUUAUAAUGUGCAGCUCAUUCGAUUCAAAUGAUUGUUUUCCUUCACACAUUUGAAUCUCGAGAAAUGAAUCGAGUUCGAUGACGCGUGGGUAUUCUUGUUCGACCUGUUUCGUUAGGACAUGCACCCGCGUGCUUCAAGCACGCGCCACUUCCCUCUCGGACCUGAGGCACUGUGCUCCACUCAUUUCGUUCUUUUUUUUUUUUUUUUCACAAAGCUGAGUCACACUGUUACAUUGGUCACAUGAUGCCUUCAGUUAGUUCACACCAGGCCAGCAAAAAAAAGUUGGAACCCAGAAAAAGCUCCUAGUUUGGAACGGGGGGGAUUCCACCUUGGUUGAUAUGUCAACCUUUGGUUGAGGAAAUGAGAUAAGAACACUUUAAACAGACUAAACCAACUACAUUUUGAUAGCUUCUGUGCCCACCAGAAGUUAUUUCGUCAGAGGUUGCCAAGUAGAAAAUAGAAUAGAAUAGAAUAGAAAGCCUUUUAUUGUCAUUGCACGAGUCAAGUACAACGACAUUUUUAGUAAGCUGUGGCCAUAACGUUGAAAGUUAUACUUUCACACAUGAAAUCAAAGGAGUACCGUUGUUGAAGAGUUGAAGUGUCAGAUGCUUUUAUCAAAAGAAAGUCACAAGGAAACCGGAUACUGUGGACUUUGGGGAUCAAACCCAGAUACUUCUGAGCGCCUUAGCAAAUGCACUGCCCUGUCCACGUUGCCCAUGUUCCACUAUCUGAGUUGUGCUUUUGGGUCUGGCAGCAGCAAUGCAUUAUGGGGGAUUUACCAUCCUGACGCAAGCUAGCUUAUCUCCUCGAGACCUGGCGUCCAUGUGGAACGCCGUGUAGAGCGUUUCUCUGUAUGGUGACUCUGCGGUUUCUCUGACACGUUUGGCAGUUUCCCAUGAGGCAGCAAGGAAAGGUUUCUGCUCACGCCCUUGUUGCUUGUCGCCGUUGUGUUGGCCGAGUUUCCUUCCCCAUUUUUCGACACAAGCUUGUGACACGGCACCAUACCUUCCACUUAACCAUCGCUGGUUUCGUUUCUCUCUCUCAUCUCGUGUACGACACCUGUUUACAGUAAAAGGCCUCGUGAAGCCAUCGGGUGUGCCAAAGAUGUCCACACACGAGGGCCGCUGCCGGGAAGGGCAGGGCGGGGAGGAGAGAGGAGGAGUAUCUGGUUUGUUUGCUUGGCUCAAUUGACAAAGGGAUUUACGAUUGCUAUUUUUAUACACCUCCGAUACCAGCGUCACAGUCACUCCAGACAGGCGUUCUUCUGGUUUGGUUUUUUUAAAGGUCACUAUGAUCACCACGGGACCAACGUUUCAAACGUUUGUUUUUGACUUUAUAUUAUGUCAUUCUAGUAGACUAUUCAUACAGUUGUAGAUACUUGUUAUUCAGUAGCAGAUAGGGCUUUGGCAGUUUGAAGGCAUAGUGGAUAUUUCUCUUGAUAGUCUUCCUUGUACGGGGUAGUAACAAGCAUGUUGUGUCGAUGAUAGCGUUAUAAUAUGGUGACUUGGCACUUGUGACUCAUUUCUUACAGCCACAACUCAAAAAUACCCAGGCUGACAAAAUUGAAAGUGCUGUUCUGAAAGAACUAAGUAAAGCAGUUCCACUUAAUAUAUAAGGACUAUGAUGUGUGUAAACAAGACUACAAAAUACACCCCUGUGCAAUUCAUUGUUAUGUUGUUAUUUCAAAAUGUAUUUGACUUUCUUCAGUUCAUUUUUUUCUAACUUACAAAGUUUUACGCCAACAAAAAAUACUAAUGUAUGGAAACAGAUGAGUUCAAUUCUGAUUUAAUUUAGCAAGAAAGAUCUCAUAGACAUAAUGCCCCCACACUCUGGGCCCUUGGUGGGCUGUGGAGAGCAUUUGAUCUCCGCAGGUCCCCCCUCCCUCCUCGUGUAGAGCGUGGUGCUGGUGGCCGGGUGUACUCUGUGGCUGUGCUUCGUGGGUCAUUCGAAACUUUUAACUGGUAAAAAAAUAAAACUCGCCUUCACAGCUUGCGAGGUCGGGCCGCUCUGACAACAACCUGCAGAGCUGUGUGAAUUAUGGUAUGGCUGGGUUGCCGGGGUUGACAGUGGGUGGGGGGGGGGGGGGGGGGCUGGUUUGUCUGAAGGGCUGUUACUUCACCUCCUGGCUUCGAGCGUCUCUGCUGCUCUUCCUCUGGAGACCACAUCUGGUCUUUUUGUUAUCUCUUCUUUUUUUUUCACUUGUGUGAUUUUGGCUCUCGCCCCAAAGCCCCCCUGAAAGUAUCUGAGUCAGCAGAAAGCAAAGGAAACCGAGAGGAGGAGGAGGAGGAGGAGGCAAACAGAGUCCCCUUCUCUCUCAAAGCCUUUUUUUCACCCCUCCACUUUGCUCUGUGUUCUGCCAAAAACCUUCUUUCUCCUCCCUUCUUUUUUGAAGUGACCCUGCUUCUCCCUGGUGCUUUUGUUUUGAUAUGUAGGCUUCUUUUGUUGAUAAAAUUGUGGGAUAAAGGUCCUGGCUGUGACCAAAGUGUACUCUGGUUUUGGGAGGAUAGCCGAUACUUUAUUGUUAUUAAAACGUGCUUUUCUAUCUGGAGAGAAACGGACAUGGACCUCACAGAUUGAGUGGAAGCAACUGUUGUAGAUUUAAUUUGAACCAAACACAACAAAUAAUAUGUGAUUAUAAUAGGCGCUGUGUAAAUAGGGUGUUAUGUCUCAUAAUAAUAGUAAUACAUUUUUAUCGGUUCAUCUUCCACACUACACACCAGUAUUUUCUGCACAACCAGUAAUUCAACAAGUGUCAUUAAUAAAAGUUAGCACAUGGAUUGCUAAGUAUUCCUUUAAUCUCAGACAUGUGUAUGUUCACCCUAGCCAGACAGAGUUGCUCCAUUUAUUAUCCCCAUUUCGAGGGAAUUAACACCUUAUGAGUCACAUAAUGAGAGGAGAUUAUUAGUUGAGGUAACAGAGACUUCUGGUUUCUGUCUGUCUGUCCUUUGUCUGUGCAGAGUAUAGUAUAGCCAUGCUGUAAUUUACUCUAUGAGAAUCGAAGAAUGCACACUAACCAUUCAACAUGCGCUAGGUGUGGGGGCUCCACACAGUUAGGUAUAGGUAUUAGAUGUUUCCUUCCGACCUCUAUUGCAUAAGCUGUGUUUUUGAUGACCUACCGAAGCAGAGUAUUGUCGUUUUUUGGAGAUUGAUGGGCCAAUGAAUAUCUUUGCAGUCAAAUGGUUUUAGGGAGCCAUACUUUUAUGCUAAUAGUACACCCUGAAAAGAUUGUAUUGUUGAUUGCACAGAAUACUAUCCUUGUUGUGUUUUCAUUCCAUUCCUUCCUGCAAUUCCCCCUUCCUUCAAUGCCCAGAGACAGUCUUUUAUUUUUAGUUUGUAAUUGAUGUAAGCGUGCAGCAAAGCAGCUUUGGUAGCCUGAAAGUAUUCAUACUGUACAGUCUGGAGUUAGCGUGUUCAAAAGCAAUUAGAGGGAUCUAAAAUGAAAUGAACAGAUGUCGGACAUUAUCAUCAGCUGCCUUGCUUUCAGAGAGGGCAGUCAUCGUGCUCUUACCACAUUAAACUGCCAGUCGGACCGUUUGAUGACGGUCAUGGGAUCUUCUACUUCUCCAACUGGUAUUGUCACGUUAUACCAAAGGACCCUACUCUGUAGCUUGAACCCAAAUGAACGAGCCAUGAAAAUAGAAGCUUGACUCUGGGUGGGUGCAUGUGAGGACACUGCCGAGCGGUCGAUACUCAGGGGGAUGUGUGGACAAACACGGAGGAGCACAUGCUGCAGAUAGAGCACAAACAGGUCGAGGACGAGCGCUUUGUUGAGCCAUUCCUCUGAGGUUUGUGUGUACGUGUGUGUGUAAGUUCCUGGGGUCAGAAAGGCCAAACCCAUCUCUAAAUAGACCAGCUACUCCAGUGUGUGUCAAAGCACUGAGAAUGCAUGUGUGUGUGUGUGUGUGUGUGUGUGUGUGUGUGUGUGUGUCUGUGUCUGUGUGUCUGUGUGUCUGUGUGUCUGUCUGUCUGUCUGUCUGUCUGUCUGCGUGUCUGUCUGUCUGUCUGUCUGUCUGUCUGUCUGUCUGUCUGUCUGUCUGUCUGUCUGUCUGUCUGCGUGUCUGUCUGUCUGUCUGUCUGUCUGUCUGUCAUGGCUAGUGUUCGUGCACUGUGUGCUGUUAUUUCAGGUGAUAAACCAAUCUACACAUAUGGCUCUGUAGAUUGAGGAAGUGAAUGUCACAGAGUACACAAAACAAACACGACUCACCGUUCAUUUGGAAGAAGAGAACAACAGAGGAGCAAGAGAAAGGAAAAACACAACAUUCUACAUUUAGAAUCUAUUUGAUAUAAUCAUGUAUUGAGAAUGAGGAGGACUCUGAUAGGAGGAGAGAUCGGACCUAAGUAAGACAAGUCAAUAUAGGAGGGGGAAGAGGAUGUGGGGGGGGGGGGGGGGGGGGGACAAAUCUGAUGCAACAGCAGGAGAUGGGUGGGGCAGAAGGAGGACUGUGUGCAGGAGAUGUUCUCGUCGUUGAGUAGAAUUUGGCUGUGAAAGAGGUUAGGGGGGGUGUAGAAUGGCUGUGCAGGAGAUGGUUGUGAAGUUGUGUAGAGUGUGUGUCACUUGGUAGUGGAAUUGUGUAGCUGGACAAGUUGUGUUUAGGAGGGGAUUAUGCAGUGGUGUAGGAGCGUUCAUGCAUAGGUGAUGGUGCGGCUGUGUUCUGUGGAUGUGUAGGCUUUGCAGGAGGUGGCCGUGUGGGGACGUGUACGUGUGUGUGUGUGUGUGUAGCUGUACAUGGGUUGCGGUUGGCUCGGAGAUGGCAGCGUCGUUGUAUAGGACCUGGUGUUGUAGUACGGUCGCCAUGUGCAGUGAGUUGAACAAGGCAGCCUGAAAACCAGGUCAGCGGAGCAGACAUACGCUGGAAUGUUGAGUUAAGUAACAGAAGGCCGUGUAGAGAGAGGCGGGCGGAGAUAGCUGAAACACUGCCAUGCUCAGGCUUACUACAAAUAAUGAGACACCUUUUCUUUUUAUAUUAAGUUGCAUCAUUAAGUCACGAUAUUACUGCUUUGGGACUUUUUUGUUUUGUUUUGAUGGGCUGUUG